rnacentral:rRNA from 1 species
UGGGGAAUAUUGGACAAUGGGCGAAAGCCUGAUCCAGCAAUACCGCGUGUGUGAAGAAGGCCUUCGGGUUGUAAAGCACUUUAAGUUGGGAAGAAAAAACUUUACCUAAUACGUGAAGUCUUGACGGUACCGACAGAAUAAGCACCGGCUAACUCUGUGCCAGCAGCCGCGGUAAUACAGAGGGUGCUAGCGUUAAUCGGAUUUACUGGGCGUAAAGCGUGCGUAGGUGGGUGGAUAAGUCGGUUGUGAAAGCCCCGGGCUCAACCUGGGAAUUGCGGCCGAUACUGUCAGACUCGAAAACGGUAGAGGGAGGUGGAACUCCAGGUGUAGCGGUGAAAUGCGUAGAUAUCUGGAAGAACAUCGAUGGCGAAGGCAGCCUCCUGGGCCUGUUUUGACACUGAGGCACGAAAGCGUGGGUAGCAAACA